GGGCACGACACCGGAGAGGGAGCCUGAGAAACGGCUACCACAUNNNNNNNUGGCAGCAGGCGCGCAAAUUACCCAAUCCCGACACGGGGAGGUAGUGACAAUAAAUAACAAUACGGGGUUCUUUAGGAUCUCGUAAUUGGAAUGAGUACAAUUUAAAUCUCUUAACGAGGAACAAUUGGAGGGCAAGUCUGGUGCCAGCAGCCGCGGUAAUUCCAGCUCCAAUAGCGUAUAUUAAAGUUGUUGCAGUUAAAAAGCUCGUAGUUGAAUUUCGGGGUUAGUAGGUUGGUCAUGCCUCUGGUAUGUACUGGUCUCACUGAUUCCUCCUUCCUGAUGAACCGUAAUGCCAUUAAUUUGGUGUUGCGGGGAAUUUGGACUGUUACUUUGAAAAAAUUAGAGUGUUUAAAGCAAGCUAACGCUUGAAUACAUUAGCAUGGAAUAAUGAAAUAGGACGUUCGAUCCUAUUUUGUUGGUUUCUAGGAUUGACGUAAUGAUUAAUAGGGAUAGUUGGGGGCAUUAGUAUUCAAUUGUCAGAGGUGAAAUUCUUGGAUUUAUUGAAGACUAACUACUGCGAAAGCAUUUGCCAAGGAUGUUUUCAUUAAUCAAGAACGAAAGUUAGGGGAUCGAAGACGAUCAGAUACCGUCGUAGUCUUAACCAUAAACUAUGCCGACUAGGGAUCGGAUGAUGUUAAUUUUUUAAUGACUCAUUCGGCGCCUUACGGGAAACCAAAGUG
rnacentral:rRNA from 1 species